rnacentral:rRNA from 1 species
UAGUGGCGAACGGGUGAGUAACACGUGGGCAAUCUGCCCUGCACUCUGGGACAAGCCCUGGAAACGGGGUCUAAUACCGGAUACGACGCGUUCCCGCAUGGGAUNCGNGUGGAAAGCUCCGGCGGUGCAGGAUGAGCCCGCGGCCUAUCAGCUUGUUGGUGGGGUGAUGGCCUACCAAGGCGACGACGGGUAGCCGGCCUGAGAGGGCGACCGGCCACACUGGGACUGAGACACGGCCCAGACUCCUACGGGAGGCAGCAGUGGGGAAUAUUGCACAAUGGGCGCAAGCCUGAUGCAGCGACGCCGCGUGAGGGAUGACGGCCUUCGGGUUGUAAACCUCUUUCAGCAGGGAAGAAGCGUGAGUGACGGUACCUGCAGAAGAAGCGCCGGCUAACUACGUGCCAGCAGCCGCGGUAAUACGUAGGGCGCAAGCGUUGUCCGGAAUUAUUGGGCGUAAAGAGCUCGUAGGCGGCUUGUCNCGUCGGAUGNGAAAGCCCGGGGCUUAACUCCGGG